rnacentral:lncRNA from 1 species
GAGCUGGUGAGUUGUUAUUACAAACUAAUUAGCAUGUUUGUGUCUAAGCAUUCAGUGAUCAAAUGGUUUUUUAACGGUCACAAAUUCGUAAAUGCUAUUCAGAAGCUAAACUGUUUAAUUAAUUAUUGUGUUUAAAGCAUUUCACUGGAUUAAGAAGUCGUGCAACACAAGGUCAAUGACUUUCAAACUAAAUUUACGGGAUGACGGAUUCCCUUCGAGGCCCUAUUUAUAAUUCAGAUGCUAACGCAGACUUCCGUUUGCUAUUUAUCAACGAUCAAGUCCGAGAAUAAACUUGAACCCUGCUGUUGUUUCGUUCUUGUCUUGUGGCAAAGUAUCAAUCAGCGGGUGGCCAGUUUAGUUCUAAAACUCGUGUGUACAAAUAAUUAAAAAUGACGAUCUCGAUUCAAAAAGCAAAAUCGCUCCACGUCGGACAUCGUUGAACGAUUAAUAUCUUUACACAACGAGGAGCGUGAUGGACGGAGUGGCGUUUGAUUUAUAUGAAAAAAGGUACA